AUCUCUACGCAAUGUGUUUGAAACACUUCCUUGAUUAAUUUAUAUUUCUUUGGUAUAAGGUUUUUGUAGGCAGGUGUGGUUGGGCAUAAAACAAGAGAAUGAGUUACACUUUUUGAGGAUACAUGUGAAGAAUGAUAUAUUAGCUGCAAGUAUUUUUGCUAAAAUUUACUUUUACUUUUGUAUCUGAACAUCCUUAGGAUUGUGUAGCAAUCUUUACUUUCUUGCACAUCCCAUCUAUUAUUUGAAUGUGUAUGUAUUUACAUAGUAUUACAUGGUACUAAAAUGCUCACAAUCAGGUUGGGUAAUGGCCUAUUGGGUGGUCAAUAUGGUUAGUUUUAGUUUCGAUGAAAAUAAAACCGUCCAAAUCGGGUAGAACCUAAACACGUUUUGCCCAAUUCUAUAGAAUAACGGUGUAAAAUGCAAAGCUUAUUAUUUACAUAUGUUGUAACUUAUUAGCAAUAUUUAAUCACUCAUUGUAGACAUGGUAAUGCUCAAAAUUGGUCAAGCUACGUAUCUCUCUGCAAUCAAAGGGUUGAUUCAUCAGGGGUCAAUGGUUAUUCAUCGAUAGCAGCACUUGGAACAUAUACUUUGAACCCAAGAAGGGGUAGUACCGGUAGUUACAGAAAGUCCUACGGAAAAGCUUCUGAUGACUUUAAUGCAAAUGGACUAAGCAAGUUAAGCUGCAACUAAUGGUGGUUUUCACUUCCAACAAGUGUCUUAAUUGAAGAGUGUUGUGGAGUUGGUGAGAGAUGCCUAGCCAUGCAGAUUUUCAUAAAGAUAUUUAGCAAGACAAAUGGAGUGACAGUUAACAGAAGAUGCGGCAAACCUCACUUCCGACACAUCAUAUUAGAGAACAACCUUGAUAACUGGUAGAUAACAAAAGAUGGUUGCAUGGAUGACUUGGUUGAUGAGAAAACUGAUGUGUAUGCGUGUGGAGUCCUUUUUAUCGAAAUCAUUGCUGGACAACCUGCUUUGGAUGAUGUGCAACAAAGUCUGAAUGCUUAAUUUGAUCAAUGUGAAAAUGAUGAGAAAACCUCUUGAUCCUCAUCUUGGUGGUGUUUGUGCCUUAGAUCCCAAUGACUUGAUGGGUUGCUUCUCAAUGUAUCAAUGAGUGUCAAACCGAAAGUCCAAAAAUGAACAAGUUUUGGUGCUUUUUCAUAUCAAGCAAGACCAAGAUCGUUAGGGAGGUUGAUGGCGACACACGCUUGCACAUGAUAACAAACUUGCAGACUUUCCUUGAUGAAAAAGGCCUAAUUGAGGAUCAGGUUUCAACGUUUGAGCUACAUGAAGAUAGAUGAGCCAUACAUGGAUUAAAGGAGUCAUUUUUAGUAAGUGCAUGUUCUAAAAGAUUACAUAAUAUAAUUGUUGUGUAUUUUUUUUUUUUUUUAUAAAGCAAGGAAAGUCUUCCAAGUAUAA